GUAUUACGCGUUAUCUAUUGGACACUUAUUUACUACGUCUAAUGCAUUAUUUCAUUUUGCACGCAUUUGCAUCUAUAAUCGCGAACGCUUGUAGAUUUACAUACAAAACUUUUACAUUUGUUAUUUUUUAGUUUUCACUUUACAUAGCGACCUUGUAUUGAUUUGGCUAUAGCUGCAAAAUAUGGGUUCGUUAAUUGCAAAAUGCACUUUUAACGAAGUUUCUAUUUUCGAUUUUCGGUUUUCCUUUCGGUGUCUCGGGCGUUAACACGGACAAAGUAAAAAGUAGUUUACAUUUGAUUUGCCUAUGAAAGAAAGUUGAAAAUUUGUAUUUAAAAUUUUAUUUGUCUGAGAAUUAUUAUUUAAGAGUUAUAGUUUAAAUUUGAUUAAGUUGCGCAAGUUGCUAGUUCGUACCCUUUCAUAUAGAUGACACCAGAUGGAUCGUAUGGAAUGUUGAUUUGUAUGAAAAAUUUGAUAAAAUGUUUACUUUCAAUUUAAUUCUGAUAUAAAUAUCUUUAAUUAUUUGUGUCAAGCGUUUGUCCUAGAACAACGACUCUUUCAUCAGAUUGUGCGUAGGGAGGGACCGUCACGGUUUUGAUGCGUCCAUUGCUUCCGGCCCAACCUACAGCUACGAUGUCUCUACGCGAUUCUCAGGCAUAUCAACAAUUUUUAUGGUGGGGUAUCACCCCCGGAGAGAGGGAACUCCUUAUAAGGACAAUACUUAUAAGGUCUUGUUCAAAUAUUUCUAAGUUUUAAGUCGCCUCCAGGGAGGGGACACAUAAAAAUACUCUUACAAGUUCUGACCUGAAAUGAUAGAAGGGGUACACACAAAUCAUAGGAGGCACAAUCACUUUUAACAUUUCUUUAUUCCAUUUUGAAUAUAGUUAUAAGAGCAGUGUAGACUAGAGGUGCCACGAAUAUUCGGCUACUAUUCGGUAUUCGGCCGAAUAGGCCGAAUACCGAAUACCAAAUCAUAGAAAAAAAACACAUCAUAUUAAUCAUGAUAUGUAUUUAUUAUCAAAUUAAAAUACUUUAAUAAGUAAAAUUAAUCAUCGGUAAGUUGUGAUGGAUAAAAACAAGCUUUUCAGCAUUUGACGGUAGCAAACGAUUACGCUUUUCGUCGUAAAUGGUACCAGCUUCAGAAAAUAACCUCUCACUAUACACGCUACUCCCGGGAGAAGAAAGAUAAACUUUAGCAAAUUUCGAGAGGUUUGGGUAUUGUUUUUCAUUUGCUGACCACCACUUGUAAGGAUCAGCUUUCCGAUCUAGGCGAUUUGAUUUCAAAUAAAAAUCGUUCUCAUUUGCCUAUUACUAUUUCGCAUAUUAUCUUUAGCGACUUCCUCAAAGCAGUUCCAGAAACUGUCGUGUAUUUCAAAUGUCUUAUCAUUUUCGUUCAAGUUUCUCUUCUUACGACGUGGAAAAGAAUCGUACUUAGCCGAAUAUUCGGCCGCCGAAUAUUCGGCGCUUCGGCCGACAGCAUUGCCGAAUAUUCGGUAUUCGGUAUUCGGCCAAAUCACUAUUCGUGGCAACUCUAGUGUAGACCCGAACACGCAGUCAAGUACCAUGGGUAAAAAAUAUCAAAGAAAAACAUAUAAUACAAACAAAUUUUGCAUAAUCUUCGCGACAAUUAAGGAAAACUAUUAUACAGGGUGUUCCAAAAACAAUAUAAUAACAUUAAAGAGAAAAUGCAAAAUUCAAGUAGGGAAACAUAUAUCAAAAUCACAGUCAAAGCAAAAUCAAAGAAAAUUAAUAUACAGGGUGAUGAAAAGAUAAAACGACAAGAUUUUAAAGAAAAAUCAUAAAUUUAAGUGGGAUGACAUACAUCAUUGCCCUUUUGACAAAUUCACCACGUGAAAUUAGUAUACAAGUUGUUACAAAAAAAACCACUACUGGAAGUUAUAAUACAGGGUGAUACAAAAAGAAAACUACAAUAUUUUAAAAGAAAAUCCUAAGUUUAAGUAGGAUAACAUAUAUCUUUCCUCUUUUGACAAACCCACUACGGGAAACCUUAAUACAAGGUGAUACAAAAAGAAAACUACAAUAUUUUAAAGGUAAAUCCUAAGUUUAAAUGAGAUAACAUACAUCUUUACCCUGUUGACACUACGGGAAAUUAAUAUACAGGGCGUUACAAAAACUCUAAGUUUUAAAUGUAAAACGCCCAAACACUAAUAAAUAUGGUCUAUUAAAUGAUAAGGAAAAUAUAUCUACUGAGUGAUACACAAAGAAAAAUUAAGGUUUAAGUAGAAAAACGGAUGUAAACAAUUAACAAGGCGACAAUAACAAUUUAAAAAAAUCAAAAUGAUAGAACACUUCAAAAAUUGUAUUUUUUUUUUGAUAUGAUAUUCAUGAUAUGUUAAAUCGUCGUUUUACAUGACCAGCGACCAGCAACGAGCCCCGAAAGCCGCCAGAGGAUCAAGAGCGCAGCCGACGGCACGCGACGAUCUUAAUCUUUUAAAUUUGUACAUUAAACAAAAACAAAACAAGGUAUCAAAUACGUAAUGAAAAUCAACGGUAAACUGCAAAAAUUAUUUGUAGGCUUAAAGACCACGCAGUUGAGUCGUCACCCGACGACAAAUAUGAGACUGAGUUGGUACGCACACCAACCGCGUGGCGAACCGCGUGUCGCCCGCACAAAAAUUGCCCGAGAUAAGAAUAUUUUUUGUUUGUAAACAUUGAUACAUUCAGUGUGGUAAUGCAGUACAUGAAAAGAAUUGUACUUGUACAAUGCAUGGAACUUCUUGAAGAAAUCUUUUGCCUUUUU